rnacentral:lncRNA from 1 species
CAGGGGGGACAGGGGGACAGAGGGACGGGGGGGGACAGGGAGACCAUGAGACAGGCAGAGCAGCAGGUGUUGGAACAGUUGUUAGGUAAUGUCUAUCUGUGGUUUAUGACGUUGGGACAACGACACUCUGGACCACUAGCAGGAUGUGAAGCCUUCGUCAGGAACAAGAGGACGAUGUGGGACUCUGAAGUCAUGGCUCCAAAAUAUCAUCUCCACUGCCCUCCUGUCUCUCUUUCUUUCUUUCUUCCUCUCCUCACCCCUGUCCUAUCUCCUUCCUCCUCCUCUCUCUCCCUUCCUCCCAUUCUCCCCCCCUCUCGCUUUCCCUCUCGUCCUGAACUGCACGCCUUGCUGUGGCUGGUCAAACGGAACCAAGUCAGGUGUUUUAGUGAGGUUUGGUCCCCUUCAACCAGCUACUGCGUCGUGAACUCAGUCAGCAGACAUCCACAGCGGGAUUGACAGACAGAGUGUCCACUGCUACUACUGUACUACUGUAGCCUACUGCUGCUGCUUGUGUGUCUGAAUCACGUCAAAUUCAUCUACUUUUUGUACCACUAUGGAUGACUUUUUUUUUAUAGAUGUUUCUGUUACGUACAUUUUUAUGUUGUGUUUCAAAAAUAAAGAAUUAAAGAUGUGACCGUGA